rnacentral:rRNA from 1 species
UACAGGGGGGGCAAGCGUUGUUCGGAAUUACUGGGCGUAAAGGGCUUGUAGGUGGCCACUUAAGUCAGACGUGAAAUCCCUCAGCUUAACUGGGGAACUGCGUCUGAUACUGCGUGGCUUGAGUGCAGGAGAGGAACGCGGAAUUCCAGGUGUAGCGGUGAAAUGCGUAGAUAUCUGGAGGAACACCGGUGGCGAAGGCGGCAUCCUGGACCAACACUGGCGCUGAGUGAGCGAAAGCCAGGGGAGCAAACGGG